rnacentral:rRNA from 1 species
ACGUCAGGUCAGGCGGGGGCACCCGCUGAGUUUAAGCAUAUCAAUAAGCGGAGGAGAAGAAACUUACGAGGAUUCCCCUAGUAAACGGCGAGCGAUACCGGGAUGCGCCCAGCGUGAAAACGGGCUAAACUGUUAGCCUGAAUUGUAGUCUGAAGGGGCGCCUCAGCGACGGAACGGGCCAAGUCCCUGGAAAGGGGCGCCGGGGAGGGUGAGAGCCCCGUACGGCCGCACCCUGCUUGCAACGCGAGGCGCCGUCGCCGAGUCGGGUUGUUUGGGAAUGCAGCCAAAUCGGGGCGGUAAGUUCUGUCCAAGGCUAAAUACUGGCGAGAGGCCGAUAGCGAACAAGUACCGCGAGGGAAAGAUGAAAAGGACUUUGAAAAGAGAGUCAAAGAGUGCUUGAAAUUGCGGGAGGGAAGCGGGUGGGGGUGGCGAUGCGCCUCGGCCUGAUGCGGAACGGCGGCGGCGCUGGUCCGCCGCUCGGACUCGAGGCGCUGGCGUUGCGCGGGCGUGGCGCCGGCCGGAGAGCCCGAUGCUUUUGAUUGCUCAAAGGGCAUAUUCCGCCGCGACCCGGUCGGGGUUGUACAGGGAGCGUGCGCUUCCGCGGCGAGCCUCCCGGGCUCCGUCAUGCUCGUCACCUAACGGCCCGCGGGCUCCCCAUCCGACCGUUCUUGAAACACGGACCAAGGAGUCGACAUGCGUGCGAGCCGACGCUGCGAAGCCCGGAAGGCGCAAGGAGCCUGAUGCGUGGGAUACCCUAUUCGGGGAGCACCACGGAACCGACUCCGAUCUAUGUGAAGGGUUCGAGUGGAGCAUGUCUGUCGGACCCGAAAGAUGGUUGAACUAUGCCUGAGCGGGGCCGAAGCCAGAGGAAACUCUGGUGGAGCCCGCAGCGAUACUGAACGUGCAAAUCGUUCGUCUGGACUUGGGUAUAGGGGCGAAAAGACUAAAUCGACGCAUCGUAGUAAAGCUGGUUCCCUCCGAAGUUUCCCUCAGGAUUAGCUGGAGCCCAUUGGAGUACUAUCGGGUAAGCAAUGAUUAGAGGCUCGGGGCACAACGCCCUCGGAUCCUAUUUCAAAACUUUAAAUAGGUAAGGAUGGGGUGGCUGCUUCGAUGAGCACUCCGUGGAAUCGGGAGCUCUAAGUUGGGCCUUUUUUGGUAGCAGCAUGGCGAUGCGGGAAUGAACCGGAAGCCGGGUUACGGUGCCGAACUGUGCGCUAAAGAACCCACAAAGGGUGUUGGUCGAUUUAAGACAAGCAGGACGGUGGUGCAUUGGAAGUUUGAAAAUCCGCUAAGGAGUGUUGUAAGCACUCACCUGCCGAAUCAAACUAGCCCCGAAAAUGGAUUUGGCGCUUAAGCGCGCGAACCGCAUACCGGCCGUCGGUCUAUGUCAUGUCCGAUGAGUAGGAGGGGCGGCGGCCGCCGGCAAAACCCGGGCGCGAGCCCGCGCGGAGCGGCCGGCCGGUUGCGGAAUCUUUGGUGGUAGUAGCCAAUAUUUCAAAUGAGAAACUUUGAAAGGCCGAAGGGGGGAAAGGUUCGCAUGUGAACUGGGCACUUGCACAUGGGUUAGCCCGUAUGCCUGAGCAGACGGGGGAGACCCGUCCGAGAGGCGCCAUCGCGUGGUGGCGAGCUUCGAAAGGGAAUCGGUUUAAAAUUCCCCGAGCCUGGAUGUUGGCGGCGGACCGGCACGCGAGGCGGUCGCGGGACGGCAACUGCGCGGGGGCCUCGGGGAGAGUUUAUCUUUUCUGCUUAACAAAGCCUGCCAGCCCUGGAAACGGCUCAGCGGAGGUAGGGUCGCAGCGGCUGGAAAGAGCGUCGCGCACGUCGAGCGCGUCCGUGCGCCCCCGGCGGCCCGUGAAAAUCCGGAUGGCCGAGUGCCGCCCACACCUGGUCGUACUCAUAACCGCAUCAAGGUUCCAAGGUGAACAGCUCUGGUCGAUGGAGCAAUGUUGGCAAGGGAAGUUCCGGCAAAAUAUGGAUCCGUAACUUCGGGAAAAGGAUUGGCUCUGAGGGUUGGGCACGGGGGUUCCCCAGUUCCGACCCAUCGACUGUCGCGAACUGCUUGAGCUGUGCGUGGCGAGAGCGGGUCGCCGCGUGCCGGCUGGGGGACGGACUGGGAAGUUCCCCUCGGGGGACUUCCCCCGGGCGUGGAACAACCGAUCUCAGUAAACUGGUACGUACAAGUGAAUCGACUUUUUAAUUAAAACAAAGCUAAUUGCGAUGGGGUCCCGCCGAUUCUCCGCAAUGUGAUUUCUUCCGCAGUGCUCUAUGUCAAAGUAAGAAUUCAACCGAAGCGCGGGUAAACGGCGGGGAAGUAAAAUAUGACUCUCUUAGGUAGCCAAAUGCCCUCGUCAUCUAUUAGUGCGCGCAUGAAUGGAUUAACGAGAAUUCCCACUGUCCUGCUACUAUCCAGCGAAACCACAGCCAAGGGAACGGGCUUGGCAGAAUUCAGCGGGGAAAAGAAGACCUGUUGAGCUUUGACUCUAGUCCGACUUUGUGAAUGACUUGAGAGGUGUAGGAUAAGUGGGGAGCCGGCCCUGCUGGCGACAGUGAAAGUAACGACUACUUUAAGCGUUAUUUUUACUUAUUCCCGUGAGACGGAGGCGGGGCCUGGCCCCUCCUUUUGGAUCCACGUCCCCGCCCCGGCGGGACGAUCCGGGCGGAAGACAUUGUCAAGGUGGGGAGUUUUUGGGUGGGGCGGCACUCUGUUAAAAGAUAAACGCAGGUUCCUAAGAUGAGCUCAACGGAGAAAGAAAAUCCUCAGUGCGGAACAAAAGGUAAAUAGCCAUCGGUAUGAGUUCUGAUUUCCAGGUUACGAAAGUACGAACCGUGAGAAAGCGUGGUCCUAAUCGGAAGGUCCUUAGGCCUUCCGGGGAAUUUGAGGACAGCUAGAGAGUGGUAGAAAAGAUUAGUUCCACGGGAUAGAUCGGCUCUGUGGCAAGCCUGAAGCGUUUCAUAUUAGUCGCGACGUUGGCUUUUUUGAUGCCUUUCGAUGUCAGGGCUCUUCCUAUCGAUUGGAAGCAAACACCAAGUGUUGGAGAUUUGUAUUACUAGCCACCAAUAGGGAAACGUGAGCUGGGUUUAGAACCGGUCGUGAGACAGGUUAAGUUUUACCCUAACUUGAUUGAUCGUAUGCCGCGACAGUAAUUCAACCUAGUACGACGAGGAAACCGUUUGAUUCACACAAUUGGUCCAUCCGGCUUGGUUGUAAAGCCAGUUGCGGAAGCUACCGUGUGCGGGAUUACGAUGAACGCCAUCUAAGUCGAAUCCUAGAUGCCUGAAAAUGCGGCCGCAGUGCUCGUCGUUCGCAUUUU